CCUACGGGGGGCUGCAGUGAGGAAUAUUGGUCAAUGGACGAGAGUCUGAACCAGCCAAGUAGCGUGAAGGAUGACUGCCCUAUGGGUUGUAAACUUCUUUUAUAUGGGAAUAAAAUGUUCCACGUGUGGGCUUUUGUAUGUACCCUAUGAAUAAGGAUCGACUAACUCCGUGCCAGCAGCCGCGGUAAUACGGAGGAUCCGAGCGUUAUCCGGAUUUAUUGGGUUUAAAGGGAGCGUAGGUGGAUUGGUAAGUCAGUUGUGAAAGUUUGCGGCUCAACCGUAAAAUUGCAGUUGAAACUGGCAGUCUUGAGUACAGUAGAGGUGGGCGGAAUUCGUGGUGUAGCGGUGAAAUGCUUAGAUAUCACGAAGAACUCCGAUUGCGAAGGCAGCUCACUGGACUGCAACUGACACUGAGGCUCGAAAGUGUGGGUAUCAAACAGGAUUAGAUACCCGAGUAGUC
rnacentral:rRNA from 1 species